GCACAGUGGAUAUUUGUGCUGAGCCUGUAAACGAGCUCAAGUUCAGUGAUCUUUAGUGCUUCCCUCGACUGAACAGCUGGAGCCAUGGGUGAAGUGUUGGACCAAGGUCUAGAAGCCUCACCUCCCUGUGGAAAAUAUCCACUCUAAACCAUUGAACCUAUCCACAAGUGGAGGACAUAUCCAUUAUGUUUACUAGCUGCAGAAAUGGACAAACUGAUAUUUGAGCUGGUCAUGGAAUGGUGAGGUGUUUAUGCUUGGGAACCACGUGUAUUAGCUCCUGCGGUGCUGGCGCCCUGGGGUUUCAUCUCCACUGAGUUUUGGACAAAUAUCAGACAAAGAUCAAGGAUAGUUACCUACGUAUGCAGUGCCUCAAGUGCUAGGUUCAGUGGAGCUGUUCUCCUGCCCUCGACCUCUAGCUAGUGUCCACUACAUGGGAGAGGUAGCUCUGGUGUUCAGUCGGUGUAAACCUUUCCUAGCCACCAAGUUUGUUGUACUCCAAAGCUGAGCGCCAACCUCCUUCCAAUGGUGAUAACGCUCAUGUUUCUCUCUGUCUCCUCGUGGUCAAGCAUACUCGAACAUGGCCUCAACGUCGCAGAACGCCGCCGGGAACCACCUAAUCAUCGAUCGCUCGAUUCACGACUUCUCCGAUCAAAAUUUAUAACACCUAGAAGAAGUGGUGUUUGAAGGAGGAGUCUACUCCAGUGGCUGCUGAUCAAGUGGAGGAGCCAUCUAACUGGGUAUUGGGUAGAAAGGUCUUGAGCCUCUUCACUGCAACAAA